ACGUAGGGGGCCAGCGUUGUUCGGAAUUACUGGGUGUAAAGGGUUCGUAGGCGGUGUGGCAAGUCGGGAGUGAAAUCUCUGGGCUCAACUCAGGGGCUGCUUCCGAAACUGCUGUGCUAGAGUGUGGGAGAGGCGCGUGGAAUUGCAGGUGUAGCGGUGAAAUGCGUAGAUAUCUGCAGGAACACCCGUGGCGAAAGCGGCGCGCUGGACCACUACUGACGCUGAGGAACGAAAGCUAGGGGAGCAAACAGGA
rnacentral:rRNA from 1 species